UAUUAGAGUUUGAAUCUGGCUCAGAUUGAACGCUGGCGGCAUGCCUUACACAUGCAAGUCGAACGGUAACGCGGGGCAACCUGGCGACGAGUGGCGAACGGGUGAGUAAUACAUCGGAACGUGCCCAGUAGUGGGGGAUAGCCCGGCGAAAGCCGGAUUAAUACCGCAUACGACCUACGGGUGAAAGGGGGGGAUCGCAAGACCUCUCGCUAUUGGAGCGGCCGAUGUCAGAUUAGGUAGUUGGUGGGGUAAAAGCCUACCAAGCCGACGAUCUGUAGCUGGUCUGAGAGGACGACCAGCCACACUGGGACUGAGACACGGCCCAGACUCCUACGGGAGGCAGCAGUGGGGAAUUUUGGACAAUGGGCGCAAGCCUGAUCCAGCCAUGCCGCGUGCGGGAAGAAGGCCUUCGGGUUGUAAACCGCUUUUGUCAGGGAAGAAACGCUCUAGGUUAAUACCCUGGGGUAAUGACGGUACCUGAAGAAUAAGCACCGGCUACCUACGC
rnacentral:rRNA from 1 species